rnacentral:rRNA from 1 species
GACGAACGCUGGAGGCGUGCUUAACACAUGCAAGUCGAACGAUGAAAUGGAGCUUGCUCCAUGGAUUAGUGGCGAACGGGUGAGUAACACGUGAAUAACCUGCCCUUAAUUUUGGAAUAACCCAGGGAAACCUGGGCUAAUACCGGAUAAGUAAACCUGUGGCAUCACAUGGCUGUGGAAAGUUUUUCGAUUAAGGAUGGACUCGCGGCAUAUCAGCUUGUUGGUGAGGUAAUGGCUCACCAAGGCGACGACGGGUAGCCGGCCUGAGAGGGGGACCGGCCACACUGGGACUGAGACACGGCCCAGACUCCUACGUGAGGCAGCAGUGGGGAAUAUUGCACAAUGGGCGCAAGCCUGAUGCAGCAACGCCGCGUGAGGGAUGACGGCCUUCGGGUUGUAAACCUCUUUUAGUAGGGAAGAAGCGAAAGUGACGGUACCUGCAGAAAAAGCACCGGCUAACUACGUGCCAGCAGCCGCCGUAA